UCAAAACGUAGCCAUGGCUGUCCUCUUUCAUCCAAUGUGUUUACUAUUGUACUAGGUGUUAUGGUUCUUUCAUAAAUUUCACCAAUGCACAGCCUCCUCCCUCCAACUCUUCCAUAGACUCUAAUGUUAAAAUGGCUCAGAAGGUUCGUUUGAAAAUCAGAAGAGCAUGGUGUCUUUCCACUGUCACCACGUCCAUAUAAUAAACUCCACAGGCAUGAAAACUGAGAAUUUGGUAGACUAGACAUUGCUGUCGCUCACGGUGAAAGAAUUUUGUCAAUACGACUUUUACUUUUCAUUUGGGAGCGAUUUGUUUCGGCCUGACUUUUCUGUUCAUUUUAAGCAGCAAAAGUGAGGCGCAUGUCUGUGUACGUGUGUAUGGAGCCAUUGGGUGCGGUCACUAUAGCAACCAGGCUCACACCUGCCUGCUUAACGAGCUCUGCCUGCCACUGUACCAAGAUUCAUCUUAAGCACUUCUCUUUCAACUGCUGCUGUGUCCACAGUGUUACAGCCAUCAUUUUACCCUCAAAUUGUCGCCAUUAUUGUUCUCUUUCCAACACCGUAUCUUUCAAAGCUCAGGCAUUUAAACUUUUUAAACUGUGUGGAUCAAAGUGGAGGGAUCACAUUUGAGUCAUUCAGUGAUUCAAAGAAUAUGACCUUUUAAUAUUCAUUCAGAUGUUUUCUGACUCUAAAUGUUCUUUUCUCAUUUCUUAGGGUUUUCUAAUUUACAUUUAAAACAUUUUCAGUUUUUUUCCAACUCCUUCUUCUGUGUAACCUUCAGCUUUUAGCAGUUCAGCACCUUUGUUUUCAGGUUAAAUUCGUUUUUUUUUUUUGUUUUUUUUUUAUCUCAUUCAAUAUUUUUAACUCAAAAUUCAGCAAUUAAUUCAUUUCAGUGCAUACAUUCAGAUUCAAGCAUUCACACUGCAGUUUCUUCAGAAAAUGCACUUUCUAGUUAUUAUUAGUGUGAAUGCUUGAAAAGCAUUCACAGUAUUGUUCUUCUAAUCUUUAUUAUUAUAUUUUAUUCUGUAUUCCGUACGUUUUUUGAAAGCCUACUCCUUCAAAACCGUUCAACUUAGAAAAACCAUUCAAACAUCGUUAGAUUCCUAUUAUUUUGGACAACAUUGCUUCUAUUUUUCUCAUUUUUAACAUUUAUAUUUUUAAUUUUAUUCAACUUUAUUCAACAAAAAUUUCCCAUGUAUUUCAAUGGGGAGACCCUUCAAAUUCUCAUUCAACUUACUCAUUUUUAAACUCUUACUACUUCAACAUACGUUGACAUAGAGCCACCAUUCAAACUUUAAAACGAAGACAAGACAUUCAACUAUUCAACUUGUAUUUAUCUUUUCAAUAUCUAUUAUACUUUUUCUUCAGUUCCAGUUUAAGUUUCAUGAUGUUUUUUCACCCGUUUCAGAGUUUAUAAUGGGUGUGUAUGGGACGGAAUGUUGGGGCUAGAGUGAGGCAGCUCAACUG
ensembl:lncRNA